ACACCUCAUAGACCCCUCGAAGGCUGUCAAGUACAAAUAUAACAACCAUCCCCAUGGGAAGCAUCAGAAUCAGAGGUUCCUGCAACUUAUUCUUUUUGUUUUUCAAAUGCCCCUGGGCAAUCAUUAUCCUACCUGACCGUUUGAUCUCUUUUGUUUUCGGUUCAGGCAUUUCUCGUAUUGCUUUUUCUUCUUUUUUUCUUUUCUUUUUUCC
rnacentral:lncRNA from 1 species